rnacentral:ncRNA from 2 species
UAAUACCUAUGUGCCACAUAUCGUAUAUGCUUUCGAAUUGGCGGAAGUGUCUCUACCCUGCUACCUUAAUGGCGGGACUACGGUUGUCUCUAUUCUUUUU